CCUGUGCAUCGCCCCACCGUUGCAUUCGCCGAAAGGUGGGUGCAGAGGAAAGUCCGGGCAGCGAAGGGCAGCGUGCUUCCUAACGGGAAGGGGUCCACUUGGGAACGGGUGGGCCACAGACAGUGCCGCAGAAAGGGAAACCGCCUGCCGCAAGGUGGGUAAGGAUGAAAAGGUGCGGUAAGAGCGCACCAGUGUCCUGGUGACAGGGCAGCUUGGUAAACCUCACGCGCUGAAAGACCAUGUAUACCGGCUGCUUCGUAUCGCCGAAGCGAGGAAAGCCCGUCCUCCCGGAGCAUUCCGGGGUCCGGAGGGUAGGUCGAUAGAUCCCGUCGGCAACGGCGGGGCCAGAUAGAUGGUGGGGACCCUCCGCAAGGUGGGUACAGGACCCGGCUUAUAGAUGCACAGGCCUU
rnacentral:RNase_P_RNA from 1 species